CUGAGUAUCACAUCAACCAAUCAGAUGAAGACUUGACUGACGGAGAGGACCUCUAUGACUUCCCACUGUCCAAUAGGAGGGCAAGUGACCGCCAAGAUUAUAGGGAGAUGACAGAGAGCAUCUAUGACGUCCCCAGUUCCCUAAUGAGGAAAAUGUCUGAACACACACUUGCAGAGCCUUACCCUGGAGGUGAGAUACUGGUGGAGGACAGGGGCCUCCUGGAUGACAUGAUGGCCAGUCUGGGUGGAGGGACGGUGGGCUGGAUAACAGGUGCUUCUACUGUGGAGCCCUACGGGCUGGCUCAUCAUGGCUCUUAGGACUGGUAUAUAGUAUAGACUCUGGAUAAUAUAGACUGAAUGAGUUUUCCUCAUUCAAAUUGUUCUAUAAAGCUUGACGCAUUCUGUUAGAGAUUUAAAUACGUUUACAUUUUAUGAAAAAAAAAUCUCCUUUGUCAUGAUAUUCUAUUCUAUUGACUUCUCUUUUAAUACAAUCUACUGUCAAGGAAAUACCAUAUUAAAUAACUAACUUCAUACUGUCAAAGUGUUCCACUUAGUAUAUAAUGUCAGGAGAGAGGUACUAUAGUAUUCAGGCAGACCCUAUCCUUCUUUUUUAGGAGGUAGAUCAGCUUUAAUACUGCAGAUACAUUGUGGCUUCUAUCAAUGUAAUUGUCUGCAUCAUUUCCAAUCACACGUGUAUAUUUUUUGUAAAUAUAUAGAGUAUAU